AACGAACGCUGGCGGCAUGCCUAACACAUGCAAGUCGAACGAGACCUUCGGGUCUAGUGGCGCACGGGUACGUAACGCGUGGGAACCUGCCCUUAGGUUCGGAAUAACUCCCCGAAAGGGGUGCUAAUACCGGAUAAUGUCUUCGGACCAAAGAUUUAUCGCCGUUGGAUGGGCCCGCGUUGGAUUAGCUAGUUGGUAGGGUAAAAGCCUACCAAGGCGACGAUCCAUAGCUGGUCUGAGAGGAUGAUCAGCCACACUGGGACUGAGACACGGCCCAGACUCCUACGGGAGGCAGCAGUGGGGAAUAUUGGACAAUGGGCGAAAGCCUGAUCCAGCAAUGCCGCGUGAGUGAUGAAGGCCUUAGGGUUGUAAAGCUCUUUUACCCGGGAUGAUAAUGACAGUACCGGGAGAAUAAGCUCCGGCUAACUCCGUG
rnacentral:rRNA from 1 species